CGCCGUGUCCCAACCUCGACCCUCUGGAACCCUGGGGAAUUUAGGGGAAAGAGGACCGACCAAGGAGUCACGUGGAGGCCGCCUCUGGGCGCUGCCAUGACACCUGGGCCGAGCCAAGGCUGGAGCGGUACACUUAAGUUUGAGUCAUAUCCCAAAUAUGGCGACCUCGUCUCCCCUCCUUUUCACCCCUCCAGCGUAUAACCAGACACAGUUACAAAUUUAAUUAAAUUCAAAAAGUGCUGACGCUGUAUUAGACACUGAAGAAACUGAUAAAAAUCAGUCUCUGCCCUCAAGACACUUAUAGUCUACCGAUAGAACUUGUACAAUGCUGUGUGCCAGACGCUGUCCCGGAUGCUGAGGAAACUGACAAAAGUCAGUCAGUCCUUGCCCUCAAGACACGUAGAAUCUACCGAUACAACUGUGGAGAUCGUGCAAGGUUAUUUUUACCUUCUGAAUCAAAUUCUUCCUGUGCAACAAGUGAACUGUUCAAUUCUGCACACAUAUAUUGUAUAUAAGAUAUACUAUAACAUGUUUAACAUGUAUAAGACUGCCUUCCCUCUAGGAGAGGGGGUGGAAGGAGGGAAGGGAAAAAUUGGAACAGAAGUGAGUGCAAGGGAUAAUGUUGUAAAAAAAAUUAUCCUUGUGUAUGUUCUGUCAAUAAAGUCAUAAUAAUAAUAAAAAAAGAUUAUAUGAUGAUCAACUGUGAUGGACUUGAUUCUUUUCAACAAUGAAGUGAUUAAAAGCAAUUGCAAUGGAUUUGUGAUGGAAAGUGCUAUCUGCAUCUGGAUAUAGAACUAUGGAGACUGAAUAUGGAUCAAAGUAUAUUUUUUCACCUUUUGUUGCUGUUGUUUGUUUACUUGUUUUUUUUCUUGUACUUUUUCUUGCACUGUAUGAUGACUAUGGAAAUAUGUUUAGAACAAUUACACAUGUUUAACCUAUUUUGUAUUGCUUGCUGUCUGGAGGAGAGAGGAGGGAGAAGAAGGGAAAAAAUUUGGAACACGAGGGUUUUGCAAGGGUGAAUGUUGAAAACUAUCUUUUCAUGCAUUUGAAAAAAAUAAAAUAUUAUAAAAGUUUUUUUUAAAAA